AACGAUAGAGAAGUAGAAAUACGAGAAUAAAAGAUAAUAAAUAAGCGGAAGACUUUAAUUAAAACUCAACACUACCCAGAAUUUGGUUGUCACAUGUACAAACCUCUAAAUACAGAAUUCGAAUAAAAAUAUACAAGUCUCAGAGUAUAGUUCUCGAAUAGAACAAAACUGAAAGUAAAGAUAACUCAAGGGCACGUCUGGAAUGAACCGCUACCUCUCGAG
rnacentral:lncRNA from 1 species